AAAGCAAACCCGGGGAACUGAAACAUCUAAGUACCCUUAGGAAAAGAAAUCAACCGAGAUUCCCCUAGUAGCGGCGAGCGAACGGGGAUUAGCCCUUAAGCAAUUAUGAACGUAGUGGAAGCCUCUGGGAAGUGGCGCGAUACAAGGUGAUAGCCCUGUACACGAAGUGUUUGUUUUUGUGAAAUCGAGUAGGUCGGGACACGUGUUAUCUUGACUGAAUAUGGGGGGACCAUCCUCCAAGGCUAAAUACUCCUAACUGACCGAUAGUGAACCG
rnacentral:rRNA from 13 species